GUUAAGCUAGGAUUCGUUGAGCCAAAGAUGAUAUCAUCGACGUAAAUUUGAACAAUCAUAAGGUGGUUACCUUCCUUCUUACGAAAGAAGGUUGGGUCAACCGAACCUUGUUUGAAUUUGGACAUCUUUAAAAAUUUAGUCAGCGUUUCAUACCAGGCUCUCGGAGCUUGUUUUAGUCCAUACAUGGCUUUAUCCAAAAUAUAACAAUGAUUAGGAUACUUUUCGUUCACGAAUCCAGGAGGUUGCUCCACAUACACAGUUUCUUCGAGUUCUCCAUUGAGAAAUGCACACUUGACGUCCAUUUGGUAGACCUCAAAGUUUUUGUGGGCAGCAUAGGCUAGAAAUAUUCUAACUGAUUCCAGCCUAGCUACAGGAGCGAAAGUCUCUUCAUAGUCAAUGCCUUCCUCCUGACAGUAUCCUUUCACUACCAGACGUGCUUUGUUUCGAAUCACGUUUCCUUCCUUGUCCAUUUUAUUCCUGAAGACCCAUUUGAGACCAACAACCGAGGCAUCUGGAGGAGUUGGAAUAAGUCGCCAAACUUUGUUCCUUUCGAAUUCAUUCAGUUCGUCUUGCAUAGCUUGAACCCAAUCGGAGUGAUCAAGAGCAGUGUUAACUGUCUUUGGUUCAACUUUUGAUACGAAUGAGUUAAACAUGCAGAAUUCGACUUUUGAAAACAAGGAAGUCUGUUUUGCCUUGAGUUGUGAUCGAGUCAGAACUUUUUCAGAUACAUCACCAACAACUUGAGAGACAGGAUGAUCUCUGGUCCAUUUGGUGAGAGGAGGGUAGUUUGGAUCAAAGGUUGGAUCUAAUUCAGCGUUUAUCAUUUCUUCUGGUUCGGACUGGCUUUCAUAGUCGUAAGACAUAUCGGCUUGCUCCCCCUCGAUAGAUGAUCUUACAGGAAUAUCUUGAGAAUCUUGAGCUACAGAGGUUUCUUGUGGUGCUGAGCUUUCGGGCGUUGAAGCACCUUCGGAUGGUGAGGCACUUUCGGUUGGUGAAGCGCUUUCGGGAGCAGUUUGAGACCUUAGCUCCCCCUCAACUUGUGAGCUCGGCUAGGAUGAUGAUGGCGGAUCCUUUCCCUCGACUGAAGCAUUGGGUAAUGGAGGUUCGUCAGAACUUGGUCCUCCUUCAUUUAUUCUCCUUGCAGCGUCUUCGACAAUAUGCUUCAUAUGAUCGACCUUGUUGUCUGCUGCACUGGCUUCAGAGAGAGUGGCCUUCUCUGGUUCAUCAAAUAGCUCCAUGAACUUCUCGAAUAGAUUAGCGAUCGAGGCUGUGACUUUUCUAGUUUGAGGAAAGAUUUCUCCAGCUGUGUCUUCGUUGACCUUUAGCUUUUUGACAUAGCUAUCAUCAAAAGUCACGUAGUAAGUUUCUUCU
rnacentral:lncRNA from 1 species